GUGCCAGCCGCCGCGGUAAUUGAGGGCCGAGUAGCGUAUAUUAAAGUUGUUGUGGUUAAAAAGAAAGAAGAUGAACCUUGGGCCUGGCUGGCCGGUCCGCCUCACCGCGUGCACUGGUCCGGCCGGGCCUUUCCCUCUGUUGAACCCCAUACCCUUCACUGGGCGUGGCGGGGAAACAGGACAUUUACUUUGAAAAAAUUAGAGUGCUCCAGGCAGGCCUAUGCUCGAAUACAUUAGCAUGGAAUAAUAAAAUAGGACGCGCGGUUCUAUUUUGUUGGUUUAUAGGACCGCCGUAAUGAUUAAUAGGGACAGUCGGGGGCAUCAGUAUUCAACUGUCAGAGGUGAAAUUCUUGGAUCAGUUGAAGACUAACUACUGCGAAAGCAUUUGCCAAGGAUGUUUUCAUUAAUCAGGAACGAAAGUUAGGGGAUCGAAGACGAUCAGAUACCGUCGUAGUCUUAACCAUAAACUAUGCCGACUAGGGGAUCGGACGGUGUUAUUCAUGACCCGUUCGGCACCUUUACGAGAAAUCAAAGUGCUUGCGCUCCAGGGGGGAGUAUGGGCCGCAAGGCUGAAACUUAAAGAAAUUGACGGGAAGGGCACCACCAGGGGGUGGGAGCUGCGGGCUUAAUUUGACUCAACACGGGGAAAACUCACCAGGUCCAAGACACAAUAAAGGAUUGACAGAUUGAGAGCUUCUUAUCUUGGAUUUUGGGGGUGGUGGAGCAUGGCCGGUUCUUAAUUUGGUGGGGGGGACUAUGUCUUGCUUAAUUUGCGAAUACCCGAACCAACACCCUUAAGCUCGCCUAUAAUACGCCCCGCAUUCGCUCCGCGAAGAGCGCC
rnacentral:rRNA from 1 species